UACGUAGGGCGCAAGCGUUGUCCGGAAUUAUUGGGCGUAAAGCGCGCGUAGGCGGUUACUUAAGUCGAAUGUGAAAGCCCUCGGCUUAACUGAGGAAGUGCAUCCGAAACUGAGUAGCUAGAGUACGAAAGAGGGUCGCGGAAUUCCCGGUGUAGAGGUGAAAUUCGUAGAUAUCGGGAGGAACACCGGUGGCGAAGGCGGCGACCUGGGUCGAGACUGACGCUGAGGUGCGAAAGCGUGGGGAGCAAACAGG
rnacentral:rRNA from 1 species